rnacentral:lncRNA from 1 species
AACUGAGAAUAGAAAAGUGAUAGCACGGCCCUGGCAAGGGAUGCUGGGAGACUGCUGACUCCAGGUGUACCCUUCUUGGCUGGAAGAAACUGGAACUCGUGGGAGGAAGAGCUGCCUCCCUGCAAGAAGGCUGCAAGGAAAGCAGUGUCCUUGGGGUAGAGUUUCUUCAGGACUUGAAAUGCCAAUGUCACAGCUCAAGAAAUAAUGAUUUUAUUACUUCUUUGGAGAGUGCCCCAGCACUGCCUUCGUUCCCUCUCGAGGUUCAGCGAUUGUACCAGCCAGCCUGUCCCUCCAGCCUUGACCAUGGGCAGGUCUCUGCAUCUCCAUCUCCAUAAUGCCCGGCAGGGUGACAUCGUAAACACUUGCAGAGACUGUUGCUUCCUGGGUCUGGAACCUGGAGCUGGAAACAAAUGCUUGGGGACCUUACUGCACCCCCAAGGGAGAUGUCUGGUAGCCUGGAGUUGGUGUGGCAGGAAAGAAGGCCCUUUGUUAGACUCAUCCUUGCACUCUGGGAGGCAGAGAUGGAGGGACCUGCCAACAUAGAGCCAAACAGUGACUCACCUAUACAGUAAUGUAGUUGACAGCACUUGUGCCUUGUUAUCUCACCAAGUCUUCAGGACAACCUGAAGAGGCAAGCAGGGCAGACAGCACUGUGAGGACACUGGGGCUGAGAGAAACAAAGUGUGUCUCCUGAAGUUACCUGGCUGGAGAGCAUUGAGGCUGGUAUAUGACCUCAGAGCACACAAGGCUAGAUCCAGUGUUUUAGCUAUAUCACCCUGCUUUCUAGGAAAUGGAAAUUUUCCAUACUUAGAGACCAUUCUUGUAAAUUUCAACUGCCAUGACCAUUUCUAUUUAAAACAUUGGUGGGGUGAACCCUUAGUUCUAAGCUUGAAGACCCAGGUCUGGUGUCACCAUGUCCAGAAGCUCUUCUUAAUUUCAACCUCUCAGCUUGGAUUUAGGUACCUUUCCACUGGCAUCUUUACCUCAAUGAUAGCAUUUACUACUUUUUUUGUUUACUUAUGACUUGUUUGCUUAUUUGGUCUCAGCUGCUAAGAUGUGAGUUACUCUGGAUAUGGGUCUUAUUCGUUGGCCUAAAAUAUAGUUGGUGGGCUUUGAACUGAAUGUCUUUGCCUGAAUUCUUUGUCUCUGCAUGGAGUUAGUGUCUCUCUUUCCCUCUUGACAUUUUCAUGUCUCCUACUCCCUACUCUCAGGAAAGGAUCUUACACUCUCCUCACCCUGAGGUAUGAGUGAUUGAGAAGCUGAUGCAGAAUUCUUCCUUGUGGUAUCUGCAUUUUAAUAAUCAAC